AUGCUUACUUCAGCAGUAUGUAUGCUAAAAUUGGAACAAUCAUUGCCUAGAAGAAUAAAAAGGCACCUGCACAAAAAUGACACACAAAUUCAUAAAAUGUUCCAUAUUCUU